rnacentral:snRNA from 1 species
GUGGCAGAGUGGCCUUGCUGCCA